AUGAAUUUAUUUAGUAAUGAUUCCACUAUUUUGGAAGAGGUUCCAAUUGAUUAUGAGAACAAAGUUGCUAUCUAUGAUGAUUAUUGUGAUGACAUGUAUGCUAUAAAGAAUAAUGAUAACCAUGAAAUUUGUCAUCAUGAUUUCAAUUUUCAAUUGGAUUAUGCCUCACAUGAUAGUUAUUUCGUUGAGUUUGCUCCCACUACUAUUGAUGAGAAGAAAUUUGCUUAUGUGGAGAGUAGUAAAAAUUCUAUGCUUGUGCAUCAUGAAAAGAGUGAUUUAUUUGAUGGUUAUAUUGUUGAAUUCAUUCAUGAUGCUACUGAAAUUUAUUAUGAGGGAGGAAUAUAUGCUUGUAGGAAUUGCAAUAAUAUCAAGUUUCCUCUCUAUGUGCUUAAAGUUUUGAAGUUAUGCUUGUUUUACCUUCCUAUGCAAGUUGAUUCUUGUUCCCAUAAGUUGUUUGCUCAUAAUAUCCCUAUGCAUAGGAAGUGGGUUAGACUUAAAUGUGCUAGUCAUAUUCUUCAUGAUGCUCUCUUUAUGUUUCAAUUCUUAUCUUUUAUGUGA
rnacentral:rRNA from 1 species